CCUACGGGAGGCUGCAGUGGGGAAUAUUGGACAAUGGGGGCAACCCUGAUCCAGCCAUGCCGCGUGUGUGAAGAAGGCCCUCGGGUUGUAAAGCACUUUCAGUGAGGAAGAACGCCUGGUGGUUAAUACCCAUCAGGAAAGACAUCACUCACAGAAGAAGCACCGACUAACUCCGUGCCAGCAGCCGCGGUAAUACGGAGGGUGCGAGCGUUAAUCGGAAUUACUGGGCGUAAAGCGCGCGUAGGUGGCUUGAUAAGCCGGUUGUGAAAGCCCCGGGCUCAACCUGGGAACGGCAUCCGGAACUGUCAAGCUAGAGUGCAGGAGAGGAAGGUAGAAUUCCCGGUGUAGCGGUGAAAUGCGUAGAGAUCGGGAGGAAUACCAGUGGCGAAGGCGGCCUUCUGGACUGACACUGACACUGAGGUGCGAAAGCGUGGGUAGCAAACAGGAUUAGAUACCCUGGUAGUC
rnacentral:rRNA from 1 species